CCUACGGGAGGCAGCAGUAGGGAAUCUUCCACAAUGGACGAAAGUCUGAUGGAGCAACGCCGCGUGAGUGAAGAAGGGUUUCGGCUCGUAAAGCUCUGUUGGUAGUGAAGAAAGAUAGAGGUAGUAAAUGGCCUUUAUUUGACGGUAAUUACUUAGAAAGUCACGGCUAACUACGUGCCAGCAGCCGCGGUAAUACGUAGGUGGCAAGCGUUUUCCGGAUUUUUUGGGCGUAAAGCGAUUGCAGGCGGUUCAAUAAGUCUGAUGUGAAAGCCUUCGGCUCAACCGGAGAAUUGCAUCAGAAACUGUUGAACUUGAGUGAAGAAGAGGAGAGUGGAACUCCAUGUGUAGCGGUGGAAUGCGUAGAUAUAUGGAAGAACACCAGUGGCGAAGGCGGCUGUCUGGUCUGCAACUGACGCUGAGGCUCGAAAGCAUGGGUAGCGAACAGGAUUAGAUACCCGGGUAGUC
rnacentral:rRNA from 1 species